rnacentral:rRNA from 1 species
GUACACGCUGUGACUAGCAUAUCAAUAAGCGGAGGAAAAGAAACUAACGAGGAUUCCCCUAGUAACGGCGAGUGAAGCGGGAAGAGCUCAAAUUUGAAAUCUUAAAGGGUUUCCCUUUACGAAUUGUAGUUUAAAGAAGUGUUUUCUGUUGAGGUUUUGGUAAAAGUUCUUUGGAAUAGGACAUCAUAGAGGGUGAGAAUCCCGUAUUUGACCUUUACUUUCAACUUUGUGAUACACUUUCAAAGAGUCGGAUUGUUUGGGAAUGCAGUCCAAAAUGGGUGGUAAAUUUCAUCUAAAGCUAAAUAUUGGCGAGAGACCGAUAGCGAACAAGUACCGUGAGGGAAAGAUGAAAAGAACUUUGAAAAGAGGAGUUAAACAGUACGUGAAAUUGUCAAAAGGGAAGCGUUUGACACCAGUGUUGUUUUUCUGAAAAUCAAUUAAAGAACUGUUUAUGCUAAGUUGUUUAGACUUUAUCAGCUAACUGUUUAGUUUUGAGCUUUUCUUUAAUGCACUUUUCAGUUAACAAGUCAACAUCAAUUUCUUUUGCUGUAAAAAAGCUUGAGGAAGGUGGCUUGAGAUUCGUCUUAAGUGUUUAUAGCCUCUUGCCUAUGCAGUCGGAGAGAUUGAGGUCUGCAGCGUAGAUCCUUCGGGGCUAAAUGCAUUUGUGCUAAGUUAUAGCAUUUUAUAGACAACUUGUUGACUAUGAUUUGUCUUGUAGCUUACUCGCUUAUGCUAUUUUACCUACGCUUAGGAUGUUGAAGAUGUAGCACAUCAU